ACGAGUUAGGGUCCUCUAGGCCCGACCUCCCAACCCUUUGUUUACUGAACCUCUGUUGCUUCGGCGGGCCCGUCUCACGACCGCCGGAGGAGCGCUGAAAGGCGUGUCCUCCGGCCCGUGUCCGCCGAUAGCCAACCACAAAACUCUGUAUAAAUCAUGUCAUGUCUAAGUCAAUGAUUAAAAUCAAAAGCA
rnacentral:misc_RNA from 1 species